GACGAACGCUGGCGGCGUGCCUAAUACAUGCAAGUCGAGCGAAUGACGAGAAGCUUGCUUCUCUGAUUUAGCGGCGGACGGGUGAGUAACACGUGGGCAACCUGCCCUACAGAUCGGGAGAACUCCGCGCUACCUGGGCUAAUACCGGAUAAUCCUUCGAAUCACCUGGUUUGCAGUUGAAACGCUAUUCGGCGUCACGGUAGGAUGGGCCUGCGGUGCAGUAGCUAGUUGGUGGGGUAACGGCCUACCCAGGCAACGAUGCAUAGCCGACCUGAGAGGGUGAUCGGCCACAUUGGGACUGAGACACGGCCCAAACUCCUACGGGAGGCAGCAGUAGGGAAUCUUCCACAAUGGACGAAAGUCUGAUGGAGCAACGGCGCGUGAGUGAUGAAGGUUUUCGGAUCGUAAAACUCUGUUGUAAGGGAAGAACAAGUACGUUAGGAAAUGAACGUACCUUGACGGUACCUUAUUAGAAAGCCACGGCUAACUACGUGCCAGCCGCCGCGGUAA
rnacentral:rRNA from 1 species